UAAAAUUUAAAAUUUAGCAUAAACUAUAAUGAACCUUCUUUUAUUGAUGGUUUCAUUUUAAUUAACUUGCAUGUGAGUGAAUAUAGUAGAUAAUAAGUAGUAAAUUGAUUCUUUAUUAGUUUAAGUUUUGGAAUAAUCAGUUGCUUAUUUUACAUGCUCGUUAUACAGAGCCUCUUGAUAUCAGAAACUAUUUUUCUAGCUAUGAGUAUGAGAUCCCUGAACUCAGUACACUCGAUGAUCUUGGACGUUCUUAUGGGGAUAGAGAUUGGGUCUCCAUUGGGGAGAGGGAUAUGAAAAAGGAACAGAAUUUGUGGAUAACAAAAAAGGCUAGAAAUGAUAAUGAAGCAGUAGGUGACAAGCUACGCUCGUAUGCUUUAGAAGAAAACAUAUCCAUCAUGACGGUACUAUUUUUGCUAUAUGUGCUCUUCCUUUUUACUAUUUUCGCUAGAUAUCUCAUUUUUGAGUAGUUUCCUAAAAAGGUAGGGUCGAUCUUUAUUGCAUUUCAUAUUUGCUUUUUCUAGGAUAGGGAUAGGAGUAAGGACAGGAAGUAACUGUUCUCUUUAAAUGAUUUGUGCUUUGAGGAAAGCGUGGAACAUAAAUCAUUCAGAAGCAAAGCUAUAGAGAAAAUAAGAUCAAAGAAUGAAGAGUUUCGAGGAGGUGAAGAAGACCAAAAUGUCGAAGAAGCAGAUCUUAAAUCAACCAAUACCUAUGAAAUUGCUGGCAGUACUGAUAAAAAACUUCCAAAGAAGUUGAUCAGCACUUGGCAUGUAAUACUCAA
rnacentral:lncRNA from 1 species